GACGAACGCUGGCGGCGUGCUUAACACAUGCAAGUCGAACGGAAAGGCCCUGCUUUUGUGGGGUGCUCGAGUGGCGAACGGGUGAGUAACACGUGAGUAACCUGCCCUUGACUUUGGGAUAACUUCAGGAAACUGGGGCUAAUACCGGAUAGGAGCUCCUGCUGCAUGGUGGGGGUUGGAAAGUUUCGGCGGUUGGGGAUGGACUCGCGGCUUAUCAGCUUGUUGGUGGGGUAGUGGCUUACCAAGGCAUUGACGGGUAGCCGGCCUGAGAGGGUGACCGGCCACAUUGGGACUGAGAUACGGCCCAGACUCCUACGGGAGGCAGCAGUGGGGAAUAUUGCACAAUGGGCGGAAGCCUGAUGCAGCAACGCCGCGUGCGGGAUGACGGCCUUCGGGUUGUAAACCGCUUUCGCCUGUGACGAAGCGUGAGUGACGGUAAUGGGUAAAGAAGCACCGGCUAACUACGUG
rnacentral:rRNA from 1 species